rnacentral:rRNA from 1 species
AAAACAUAGGUGAACGCUGGCGGCGUGCUUGACACAUGCAAGUCGAACGGUAUGUGGCAACACAUAGAGUGGCGAACGGGUGAGUAACACGUGGGAACGUACCAUCUGCAGGGGGAUAACUGACCGAAAGGACAGCUAAUACCGCAUAAGUCCGGAAGGAGAAAGGUGCAAUAGCAUCGGCAGAAGAGCGGCCCGCGGUCCAUCAGCUAGUUGGUGAGGUAAGGGCUUACCAAGGCGACGACGGAUAGCCGGCGUGAGAGCGUGGCCGGCCACAAGGACACUGAGAUACGGGUCCUACUCCUACGGGAGGCAGCAGUGCGGAAUUUUAGAUAAUGGAGGGAACUCUGAUCUAGCGACGCCGCGUGCAGGAAGAAGGUCUUCGGAUUGUAAACUGCUGUGGUAAGGGAAAAAUGCUAUGUAGAGUGGAAAGCUACAUAGAGGGAUGGUACCUUACUAGAAAGCCCCGGCUAACUACGUGCCAG